AGUUGUGAUCUUACCAGCAAUAACGCAUCGGAUCCCAUCAGAACCCCGAAGUUAAGCGUGCUUGGGCGAGAGCAGUACUAGGGUGGGUGAUCCCCUAGGAAGUCCUCGUGUUGCAUCCC
rnacentral:rRNA from 1 species